rnacentral:rRNA from 1 species
AACGCGAAGAACUUUACCUGGGCUUGACAUCCAGGUGCACGCCCUGAGAAAGCAGUCUUCUCUCUUUCGAGGAGGGUGCUGGACAGGUGCUGCAUGGACUGUUGUCAAGUUCGUGCCGUGAGGUGUUUGGUUAAGUCCACCAACGAACGCAACCCCUUUGAGCAGUUGCCAGCGGGUGAUGCCGGGAAUUUUGAUCAGACUGCCGGUUAUACGCGGGAGGAAGGUGGGGAUGACGUCAAGUCAGUAUGGCCCUUACGCCCAGGGCUGCACACGUGUUACAAUGGCCGGUACAGAGGGACGCCAAGCCGCGAGGCGGAGCUAACCCCCCAGAGCCGGUCCCAGUUCAGAUCGGGGUUUGCAACCCGACCCCGUGAAGUUGGAUUGCUAGAAAAGGCGCUUACCAAAA